CGAGAGAAAGCGCACUGAAAAAGUCUUGGUGUAACGUUAGGGUUCUUAGAUAAAUUUCAAAUUAUUCAGCUAAAAAAGGAAAGUGUGGAAUGGAUACUAAUGCACUCACAGCUUUAUAUAUUUGAAGAAGCCUGGCGAGAAAUUGUCAAGCCUUCGGAGAAGACAGCAAAGCAUCCUUCAAAUACUGGCGCAGCUCUUAUCAUGCCCUCAAAAUGGAGCUUGCGCAUUCCUAUCCGUCAUGCGUUCCAUCAAAGGACAUCCUUAAAAGAUGGAAGAGUCAUCUCCCUCCCGCGGUCUGCCAACACACAGACCACCAGGGGAAGUCAGGGAGUAAAAAAAGAAAGAGGAAGAGAAAGAUAACUGGAGAGAUUGGACAGUCGGGAGCUUUUGAAGAGAAGAAAGACUGAAUUCUGCCCCAAGAACAACGAAAAUGGACAUGGGGUCCCACUGGGGGACGGGACGGAGGGGUAUAUAUGAAAUAUGAAAGAUGAAGUGAGAGAUUAGCGUGAUAGAAAGCUUUGGUGAACACCAAUUAAGAAAUGCUUAUUUCUUAAUACAUGCUUUCUUGCUUUCUUGCU